UCCGGCUUAACGCCGGCAGUCCCCCCAGAGUCCCCGGCCGAACCGCUGGCAACUGGAAGCGAGGGUUGCGCUCGUUGCGGGACUUAACCCAACAUCUCACGACACGAGCUGACGGCAGCCAUGCAGCACCUUGCACUCUGCCAAGUUUUACCUUGGAAGCCCCAUCUCUAGGGUUGUCAGAGGCAUUCUAGCCCAGGUAAGGUUCUUCGCGUUGCAUCGAAUUAAACCACACGCUCCGCUGCUUGUGCGGGCCCCCGUCAAUUCCUUUGAGUUUCAGCCUUGCGGCCGUACUCCCCAGGCGGGGCACUUAAUGCGUUAGCGCCGGCACCCGGAGGGUCGCUCCCCCGGGCACCUAGUGCCCAUCGUUUACGGCGUGGACUAC
rnacentral:misc_RNA from 1 species